UGUGGAAUAAUUGUCAGAUGGUUAGGGUUUCCUGUUGAAGGCUUGUUUCUUCCAUUUCUUUCCUUUCAAAGUCCCACCGAAUAGGUGGGACUCUUGUGGGAAAGACGAAGGAAGGCGAUUUGGUGGAAGAAAGACGAAGGAAGGCAAUCUCUUAAGCUCUAUGGCUUCUUCCUCAACUCAGUUUAUUCUCUCCCAGCAGAGAUAAGGCUACGAUCUUCUCUGCAGCUCUGUGUCUUUUUCCUCAACCCAAUUUAUUCUCCUAGCAGAGGUAAGGCUACGAUUUGGGGUGGAAGAACAAAUGGGUGAGAAAAAAUUCUGCAUCUAACGCUCUUUAGUCGGCUCCUCCUUUUUUUCCAGAGAACGGAAAUCAAGAGAUUGAAAGAGGAAAAAAUCAGAGAAACAACAAAUCAAGAAAGACCAGAAUCUUUCUUCGUCGUCGAUUCCGAUCAUCUUUAGCUCGGUACCAUCUCCUACUUUUCUUUUUUCUUUUUUCUUUUUUGUUAAUUAGUAUCUAUUCUGAUUAUAUUUCUAUCAUCUUCUUGUUUGAUCCAUAUGAGAUGAGAUUUAUGUUUCUCUUAGGUUUUAUUAGCGGCUCUAUUCAAUUGUUGUUGUAUAUCUUUUUUUUUUUUUAGCUGCUCAAGCAGGUGUGUUUGAUUGAGUAAAUUUCAGUUCUAACACGAGUCCCCUUUAAUUUUC